ACAAAGUUUGGCUUUGUACAUGGUGUUAUGUACAAAGCCAUGAUGUCAUGGCUUUGUACAUGAGACCAUGUACAAAGCCAUGAUGUCAU
rnacentral:pre_miRNA from 12 species